CCUAAACUGUUGCAAACUUAAAAUAAGCGCAUUCGCGGUUGAUAUUCUCCUAUAUUUCUCCCGACCUGAGGAAUCAUCGCAGCAUAUACUGCAACUAAUAAAGGAAUAUGGGGACAUGUCUGUGGCAAACCCUGCCACUAAAAUACUAACUGUUCUGUGCGAAUGAACACUGGAGUUAUUAUAAGCGAAUGUGUGCAAAGGCAGAGACUCAAUUCACGAACGGACUAUACUGUUAUUCAUGCUGUUAUUCAUGCGAAUGCCCUGAAACUACCGAACGAGAGACCACCCCGCGGUGGUCGUGUGUCUCCUAUUAACCAAAGAUACAAUGUUGUGAAGUGUGUGGCCGCCAUUUUGCCUACCGAACACGUGGCGGCGGCCAUCUUACGCACGAACAGCGGUACUUGGUCGAACGCCUGGAACUCAAACCGGGCAUUCGACUAACCAAGUACCGCUAAGACCUCCAGCAGGCUCAAAAAUCACAAAGCAAACACACGAACACCUCGGCAUUCGGUAUGUGGAAUCCCACGAACGAGGGGAUUCAUUCGAACGGUAAAGGAAGCCUGGAUGCCCCAGCCGUUUGGGACUUUUGAUUCACUAGAAAAGACCGACCGCAGGGCCAGAAUUCAUGGAACUGUUUUCGGCUACUGAGCCCGUGCGGUCGGUCAAAUCUUUAACAGUCUGUAACUCCCGAACCCCUGGUCCGAUCUGGGUGAAUUUUGAGUAUGUUGCUCACCUAGAUCAGGGCUACCAGGGGACCCCUUAUUCAACCCUGUACCCCCUGUAUUUAGGGGACAUCCACAAAUUGGGGAAAACUGUGUACAUAUUAAUCUUGUUAUGUGUUAAUCUAAGGGGAGGAGAGGGAUGGGAGGUGACCACGGUAUGAUUGGUUACUGUAGUAAUUAUGAGUAGUUACCUCCCUUGCAUGGGAGAAAUGCAUAAAAGCAGACCUGUGAAUAAAGCUAGCAG